ACCCUCCGGUUUAUUUCCCCUUCAGAUCUAAACACUGUUCUGAAUGGUUAUAAAAGGACGCAAAGUAACAUCAAAACUGACUUCAGUGCUUUUGUGGCACGUGGACUAGUUUCAAAACAUU
rnacentral:snoRNA from 1 species